AUUGAACGCUGGCGGCGGGCCUAACACAUGCAAGUCGAGCGAAAGAAGGGGGAUUUUGCCCGGCUUCAGUUGCGGACGGGUGGGUAAUUACCAGGUGUCUACCUGCCCGUGAGGGCUGGGAUACGUAAGGGAACCCGAAUCUAGCACAGGUUAUGAUGUAGAACGUCGGGGUUCAUUGGUGAAAGCGGUUUUUGAUGUACCUAGGAGAGGUAUCCUCGCCGCAUUAGCUAGUUGGUAAGGUAAAGGCUUACCAAGGCAACGAUGCGUAGCCGACCUGAGAGGAUGAUCGGCCACACUGGAACUGAGACACGGUCCAGACUCCUACGGGAGGCAGCAGUAGGGAAUCUUCCGCAAUGGGCGAAAGCCUGACGGAGCAACGCCGCGUGAGUGAUGAAGGUCUUCGGAUCGUAAAGCUCUGUUAUUAGGGAAGAACAAAUGUGUAAGUAACUAUGCACGUCUUGACGGUACCUACUCAGAAAGCCACGGCUAACUACGUG
rnacentral:rRNA from 1 species